UGGUCCUUCAGAAGGAAUUCCAGCAAGACCUCUCACCACCUUUCCGUUCUCCAAUGUUGAGAGCAUCACAGGGCUAGUAGCUGUAAGGAUCCAUCUGGGAGAAGCAUAAGUUUGAGAAGAUGAAAUUCAAAAUUAACUGGUUUCAUACAACUUAAUGACUGACCAACAUUCCUAGAAGGAGCAAGUGUCAGCUUACAGCUAAGUGAUAAAUUCUGGCCUAAUUCCAUGAGUUUUCUCUUUGGGGAAGAAGGGAAGGGAGAGGUUAAUCCCUCAGUAAUCCGUAAACAACAGAUGGAUCGUAGGAUCACGGCUCUUUAUUCUAGAUGACUACUUGAUGCCUAUACAGCAAGAGGCCUACCAGGAAGAGAAGAUGACCGCUUUCAUCAAACACACGAAUCUCACAUUUCGGCAGAGCAUUCUGAAGUCUUUUACCCUUCCUCUUGACUAGGCAACAAUUGAGCUUUUCCACUAUAAGGAUAAGCAUAGAGAGUUUAAUCGACCAUUGAAGUAAGCAGCAGAUGUGACAGACAAACAACAUGAUAUUGCAUUUCUGCAUUUUUCAAGUUCAUUUCAGCAAUUCCUAAGGUCCCACUUUGCUAAGCAGAAAAAUGAAAAGUAAUUGAAGCUGUUGAAACUAAAUGGAGCAUGCCAAUGACUAAUGACCUGCAAAGUAUCAGUGUUUGAGCUUUAACAGCAUGAAGGCAUGAAUUUGUGGAUGCAGAAGCAGUUUUCAGCAUCUUUAGCUUCCAUUGGAGUGUUUCUUUUGAUUCUUUGCAACUCAAGAAAGUUGAAGAACAGCUAGGUCAGCAAACCUUUCGUUAUGCUCAGCAUGUAAGGGAGAUUAAGAGGGAACUGAUCAGGAAUGAUUUCCAGU